UAAGUAAGUAUCGAACUUCAUUGCUAUCAUCAAAUGUUGAAGCAUUGCUAUGCACACGUGAUUGGUUAUUUGAUUUAAAAGAUGAAAACGAGAACGAAAUGGAUGAAGAUCUUGUUGAAGACAUUGAAGCAUUGAUUCCAACUUUUGGCAACUUUUAGGGACUUUAAAGGAAGCAUCCAUGAAGAAGCGCAAUUCGUCAAGACGUUUUGUAUGUUAUUGAAUUAGAUCUUUUGUAAAUGCAAGGAACCGA